UGAAAAGAAGUGCUAUGCUAAUUCUGGACAUUGCUAUUAUGUUUCCAGACAGAAGAUGACCAGAAAAAGAAAUAAAGGCUGAUAACUGUCAACACCCAGCUGUUUCUCAAGAUGGAACAUGGUACUGACAAAACCAGAUUGACUAUCAAAGCACCUCACAGUACAAGACACAGAUUGUUGCCUACAACUCAGAAAAAGUGGUUAAUAGGAAG